UCUGUAGCUCAGUGGUAGAGCACUUGCCCUAUAUAUCAAGGUCUUGGGUUUGAUCCCCAGCGCUGAG
rnacentral:tRNA from 1 species